rnacentral:rRNA from 1 species
CCUANGGGGGGCAGCAGUAGGGAAUAUUGGACAAUGGCUGAAAAGCUGAUCCAGCCAUCCCGCGUGAAGGCAGAAGGUCCUAUGGAUUGUAAACUUCUUUUCUCUGGGAAGAAAAGGCGGGUUUCUACCUGCUCUGACGGUACCAGAGGAAUAAGCACCGGCUAACUCCGUGCCAGCAGCCGCGGUAAUACGGAGGGUGCAAGCGUUAUCCGGAUUCACUGGGUUUAAAGGGUGCGUAGGCGGGCUUGUAAGUCAGUGGUGAAAGCCCGGGGCUCAACUCCGGAACUGCCGUUGAUACUGCAAGCCUUGAGUACGGUUGAGGUGGGCGGAAUACAUCAUGUAGAGGUGAAAUUCUUAGAUAUGAUGUAGAACACCGAUUGCGAAGGCAGCUCACUAAAGCGUAACUGACGCUGAGGCACGAAAGCGUGGGGAUCAAACAGGAUUAGAUACCCUUNUANUC